UACGAGGGGGGGCAAGCGUUGUUCGGAAUUAUUGGGCGUAAAGGGCGCGUAGGCGGUUUGGCAAGUUUGGUGUGAAAUCUUCGGGCUCAACUCGAAGUCUGCAUCGAAAACUGCCGGGCUUGAGUAUGGGAGAGGUGAGUGGAAUUUCCGGUGUAGCGGUGAAAUGCGUAGAUAUCGGAAGGAACACCUGUGGCGAAAGCGGCUCACUGGACCAUUACUGACGCUGAGGCGGCGAAAAGCUGAGGGGAGCAAACAGG
rnacentral:rRNA from 1 species